ACGUGGUGGCUGGGCCGGGGAAAUGGCGGCUUCAGGAGAGAGCGGGACUUCAGGCGGCGGAGGCAGCACCGAGGAAGCAUUUAUGACCUUCUACAGUGAGGAAUAAAGAUGGCAUGUAGCAUACCAGAGAUUCAUUCCAACUAGCAUUCCAACUCUGACAGUGACACCAAGAAUGUUUUCCUGGGACUGCCUGGUGCUUGUUCUCCCUGGCAUUGUCUUCAGGUGAAACAAAUAGAGAAGAGAGACUCGGUUCUAACUUCGAAAAAUCAGAUUGAAAGACUGACCCGUCCUGGUUCCUCUUACUUCAAUUUGAACCCAUUUGAGGUUCUUCAGAUAGAUCCUGAAGUUACAGAUGAAGAAAUAAAAAAGAGGUUUCGGCAGUUAUCCAUCUUGGUGCAUCCUGACAAAAAUCAAGAUGAUGCUGACAGAGCACAAAAGGCUUUUGAAGGUAUUUGUAAAUUUACCUGCUUCUGAGUAUUAGAUUGUGAAUUGCAGGGCCUAACUGUUCCUUGUCCUAGAUCAAGCAAAGACUGUUAUAGUUUUGUCUUCUGGUCACCAAGAAGCUGUAGUUUUCAGUAGAGCAGUUGCCAUUUCAAAGCAGAAUGUUGUUGUUUAAGAAGUAGAUCUUAACUUUGCUUUGUUAAAACUUUUAUAUGCCAACAAAGACUGUUAUUGCAUAGGAUCAUUUUUUUUCUUUGAACAUAAAGAAUUUUAUCACUGAAUUAAAUCCAGAUGUGGUGUAUUUAGCCUUGAGUAUAUAUUUAAUUUUUUCCAAGGCUCUUAAGG
rnacentral:sRNA from 1 species